UACGUAGGGCGCAAGCGUUAUCCGGAAUUAUUGGGCGUAAAGAGCUCGUAGGCGGUUUGUCGCGUCUGCCGUGAAAGUCCGGGGCUCAACUCCGGAUCUGCGGUGGGUACGGGCAGACUAGAGUGAUGUAGGGGGAGACUGGAAUUCCUGGUGUAGCGGUGAAAUGCGCAGAUAUCAGGAGGAACACCGAUGGCGAAGGCAGGUCUCUGGGCAUUAACUGACGCUGAGACGCGAAAGCGUGGGUAGCAAACAGG
rnacentral:rRNA from 1 species